ACUUGAUCCCCUGGAAAUGUCCUACUUCCUGCUCCUCCCCAGGCCCUGCCUAGUGGGACCACGUCAUUCUCUAUUCUCAUGGACCUCUAUACCCCUCCUCUCUGAGUUCAGGUAUUCUGGUACCUGCCCACAGCAGGGAGAACAACAGACCACAUGUCCAGUCCUUGCCCAGCCCAGAUUAUGCUAUAAAGACGUUUUUUGAAAGAGAAAGAAAGAGGUGACAUUCUGUGGAGGGAUCUUAAGGGACCAGGCCUAAUCACAUCAGGGACUCGAGGCCUCCCUUCCAGGCUUGGCAGGCAGAGUAUCUCAAGAUGAAGAGAAAGACAUUUUCCCUUGCAUGCUGGCUGCUGUUUCAUCUUCUACUACUCUUAGGAAACGCUGUAACUUCUAAUGCUAACACUACAGCCACCACCCUUGGACAAACCACAUCACCCAGGGGAACUAACACAACAGCUAUAACCUCCAGUGGGAACAUCACGACCACCUCCCUCGGACCAACCACACCGUCCAGGGAAACUAACACAACGGCUAUAACCUCCAGUGACACCAGCACAAGUACUGCCCCUCCAAGGAAAGAGGAGAACCUUAGCGGACAACUGACACCAUGGGAAGUUGUUCUGGUCACUCUGGCCUCGGUUGCAAUGGCUGUGAUUCUCGUCACCGGGCUUCUCUUCCAUUUCAGAAACUCUCCAGGCCUCAGAAACCUCUUCGAUGUUAAUCUCUUACCAACUGCAUGGCCAAGCCCCUACGGGACCAGGGCAACUGCAACUGACUUCAGAGGAGACCCUUCUCCCGUAGUCAUGGAGCUGACUGGGAGGCGGGAAUAGCACUGAGCUCCCUGAAGGCAGACGCAUCACCAAUGUGUGGGGGUGGGGGGCUGACCUGGGGGAGCCUGAGUAUUCCUCCUGUCCGAAGGACUGUCCCUCCCAGCUCCAUUUCAGCCUCUGACUGUCCUCCUUCCCACUUGGUUUUUCCAGACCAAAACAAGGAGGCUGUAGCUGUGAACGAAUUAUUAAAUAAACAAUUCUGAUAUACGUGGAACCAGACUCUCUAGGUGUAUUUAUGUAUUAUGGUGAACAGAGGUUCUUUAUACCCUAAAGACCCCUCUUCUCUUUGUUCUCCCAGCUCUCAAAUCCCCAGAGUGAAACCCAGACUUUAUAUGUGUCUCAUUUUCUUCCCCAUUCUGUCCUCAUUCCCCGGAGGCCUCUGGGCUGAUGAAUCAGGGAAUGGAAUCAGGGAAGAUGGAGAAGGCGAGUGCUACACAUCACA
rnacentral:lncRNA from 1 species